ensembl:snRNA U6 U6 spliceosomal RNA
ACAUUCAAGAGUGUCGCUUCCCCAGCACAUAGGAUACCAAGAAGAGUAGCCUAGCCCAUGUGCACAAGGAUGAUAUGCAAAUUCACGAAGUAUCCCAUGUUUUU